rnacentral:rRNA from 1 species
GACGAACGCUGGCGGCGUGCUUAACACAUGCAAGUCGAACGGAAAGGCCCUGCUUGCAGGGUACUCGAGUGGCGAACGGGUGAGUAACACGUGGGUGAUCUGCCCUGCACUUCGGGAUAAGCCUGGGAAACUGGGUCUAAUACCGGAUAGGAGCCAUUUUUAGUGUGAUGGUUGGAAAGUUUUUUCGGUGUAGGAUGAGCUCGCGGCCUAUCAGCUUGUUGGUGGGGUAAUGGCCUACCAAGGCGGCGACGGGUAGCCGGCCUGAGAGGGUGGACGGCCACAUUGGGACUGAGAUACGGCCCAGACGCCGACGGGAGGCAGCAGUGGGGAAUAUUGCACAAUGGGCGCAAGCCUGAUGAAGCGACGCCGCGUGGGGGAUGACGGCCUUCGGGUUGUAAACUCCUUUCGCUAGGGACGAAGCUUUUUGUGACGGUACCUAGAUAAGAAGCACCGGCUAACUACGUG